AACGAACGCUGGCGGCAUGCCUAACACAUGCAAGUCGAACGAGACCUUCGGGUCUAGUGGCGCACGGGUGCGUAACGCGUGGGAACCUGCACUUAGGUUCGGAAUAACUCCCCGAAAGGGGUGCUAAUACCGGAUAAUGUCUUCGGACCAAAGAUUUAUCGCCUUUGGAUGGGCCCGCGUUGGAUUCGCUAGUUGGUAGGGUAAAAGCCUACCAAGGCGACGAUCCAUAGCUGGUCUGGGAGGAUGAUCAGCCACACUGGGACUGAGACACGGCCCAGACUCCUACGGGAGGCAGCAGUAGAGAAUAUUGGACGAUGGGCGAAAGCCUGAUCCAGCAAUGCCGCGUGAGUGAUGAAGGCCUUAGGGUUGUAAAGCUCUUUUACCCGGGAUGAUAAUGACAGUACCGGGAGAAUAAGCACCGGCUAACUCCGUG
rnacentral:rRNA from 1 species